GUCCUGAUGUGCCUCAUCAUCUGCCCACACUGUCAGGCCCCAGCAGUCAAAGACCGGGGUCUAGGGACAGACCCCUCUGCAAAGCAGGAACGAUGAUUCUGGGUGUGUCUGCCUCACAGGCUAUGAUAUGCGAAUGUACUUUAUGUGUGUAUUUCCCUUGGCAGAUACCCACUGAGGGCCACUGGGGUCUGGAGACACAGAGAUGGGGAAGACAAGGUCUCUGCCACCAGACGGCAAGAGUUAAUGUGGGGACAGACAACCAGGCGGCAGCAACACCAUGAGAAAUGAGGCCACAGCGCGCAGGGUGAGCUGAUGCUCCUCCGGUGGAGGUUGGGGCAGCAGAUGGGAGAUGCCGGCCGGUGUUCCCACACCGUGUGUGUGGAAAGAGAGAGAAGGCUGGGCCGUGAAGAGAACAACACCCAUGCCUGGACGUGUCCACGGCACCUGAGCGACCUUCCUGUGGCUCGUGGGGACAGAGACAGUCAGGCCUGCUGCCCACAUGGUCAGGAGCCACCCACGCAGCCCUCACCUGGCUCUGCUCCAGCUGACGGUGGCUCUUCCUGGGACAGGCUACUCUGCUUCCCUGGGCUGCUGCACCUGCUUCAUGGGCGUACGGAGCUCCACCUGCCUGGCUCACUUCCAAUGCGAUGGCACCUUAAAUGAUGUGAAAUUAUUGAGAACAGUGGCGCACAAUGAAACCAUCAGGAAAGCAGUCAGCGCGAACUGAGAGAACUGUUUACAAAGAGGAUUGUGCAGAAGGGAGCGGUCACAGUCGCCCAGGGUCCUCAGACUGGGUCUGGGUGAGUGUUGUCGGAGGGUGCCUGGGAGAGCAUGUCACUUGAUCUUGGAAUGUCACUGUUGUCUGUGGCCUCGACGUCUCUGGCUCCAGCCUCAUCUCUUGUAUAGGAACUUUGUCCCAGGCAUAAUUUCCCCUGUGUAUUUUAUUUCAGUUUUGUUUUUGGAGUUCCCCGGAGUGUCUCACCUGAGAUAACAGGUCUUCCAGGAAAGGCAUGUUGGCAACUCUCCUUCCCCACCUCCUCUGAUGCUGCGGCGUCAGCCCCGCAUUCAGGAGCACCCUCUGAUUAUUCUGGCCACUCCCAGACUCCUGCACCCUUCCCAGUCACACCUGCUCCCUAUCCUUGGUUCCACUGGACCUGCCAGGCACCUGCCCACUGAGCACUGCUGCAGGGCUGGCUGUGUCUGCUGAUACUGGGGCUCUCUGCUGUGAGAACAGGGCUGCUUGGGGACGACCUUGGGGCGGUGGCAUUCACCUAGACCUUACAGAGAGGUUAGCAGAAUCACUUUUUGUGAUCGUUGCUGAUAUUUUCUCUUCCCGCCACAGGACUUCUGUCUCGGUUGGUGAUCCUCUGUCCCUGGAGGUCAACUGAAGCAACAACAUCAUCUAAGGUGUCUGCCCGAGCUCCCUCUUCUCUUAGCAUGAUUCUCAUUCUCCCUCCGGAGGCUGCUCAGCCCCUCAUGCAGAUAGACUUAGGUAGGCCCAACCUGCCUGGUCAUUAACAUACCCAGGAGUGUCUAAAUCCCAGGGGCCAGAGUGGCUUCCACACACCCUGGCAACUGCAUUGUGUGCAUGCGAUGUCUGACCACGGGGUGGAUGUGAGUCAGGGCAUGGCCUGCCCUCCUCUGAGCCACGUGUCAUAUUCAA
rnacentral:lncRNA from 13 species